AUACGGAGGAUCCGAGCGUUAUCCGGAUUUAUUGGGUUUAAAGGGUGCGCAGGCGGGAGAUUAAGUCGGCGGUGAAAUUUUGCAGCUCAACUGUAAAAGUGCCUUCGAAACUGGUUUCCUUGAGUGUAGAUGAAGUAGGCGGGAUUUGUGGUGUAGCGGUGAAAUGCAUAGAUAUCACGAGGAACUCCGAUUGCGCAGGCAGCUUACUAAACUACUACUGACGCUCAGGCACGAAGGCGUGGGGAUCAAACAGGAUUAGAUACCCUGGUAGUCCACGCAGUAAACGAUGAUUACUAGCUGUUUGCGAUACAAUGUAAGCGGCUGAGCGAAAGCGUUAAGUAAUCCACCUGGGGAGUACGUUCGCAAGAAUGAAACUCAAAUGAAUUGACGGGG
rnacentral:rRNA from 1 species